UGUGGGAUUCCCUCUGGUGGCCUCUUCAAGUUGGUGGUUGUUUUUUCAGAUUAUCCAAAGGUGAUACCCAUUAAGAGGAAUCCCAAAAGAAGAGAACACUCACAUGAUGACAGAAGUGCAUGCUGCUCACUUUUGAAGAAAACAUACCCCACAGAGAGGAGAACUCUACCAGUGACUCUAAAAGCCGUGUGUUCCCUGACUCUCUUAGCUUCCUGGACACAAAAGCAAGUGGCAUGUGACAUACGCUUUCUUCCAAGCCAUUGUCCAUGUUUAUAUAAUGUUUCACAACGUUGCAUCACAGUUCUGUUUGAAUCCUUGGAACCAAGGCAACAGGAAGAAUGA
rnacentral:lncRNA from 1 species